GCUUCAGGGCAGGGUGAAAUUCCCGAUCGGCGGUAUAGUCCGCGAGCCGCACUGCGGCAGGAUUUGGUGCAAUUCCAAAACCGACAGUAUAGUCUGGAUGGAAGAAGAUG
rnacentral:ncRNA from 1 species